CAGUAGCCGCGGUAAUACGAAGGGUGCAAGCGUUAAUCGGAAUUACUGGGCGUAAAGCGUGCGUAGGCGGUUUGUUAAGUCUGUUGUGAAAUCCCCGGGCCCAACCUGGGAAUGGCAAUGGAUACUGGCAAGCUAGAGUGUGUCAGAGGAUGGUGGAAUUCCCGGUGUAGCGGUGAAAUGCGUAGAGAUCGGGAGGAACAUCAGUGGCGAAGGCGGCCAUCUGGGACAACACUGACGCUGAGGCACGAAAGCGUGGGGAGCAAACAGGAUUAGAUACCCGGGUAGUCCCUGUCUCUUAUAA
rnacentral:rRNA from 1 species